UACGAAGGGGGCUAGCGUUGCUCGGAAUCACUGGGCGUAAAGCGCACGUAGGCGGAUUGCUAAGUCAGGGGUGAAAUCCUGGAGCUCAACUCCAGAACUGCCUUUGAUACUGGCAAUCUCGAGUCCGGGAGAGGUGAGUGGAACUGCGAGUGUAGAGGUGAAAUUCGUAGAUAUUCGCAAGAACACCAGUGGCGAAGGCGGCUCACUAGCCCGGUACUGACGCUGAGGUGCGAAAGCGUGGGGAGCAAACAGG
rnacentral:rRNA from 1 species